CACGGAGUUAGCCGAUCCUUAUUCUUACAGUACCGUCAAGGUUCUUCGCAAAGAACUGUUUCUUCCUGUACAAAAGCAGUUUACACACCAUAGAUGCGUCAUCCUGCACGCGGCAUGGCUGGUUCAGGCUUGCGCCCAUUGACCAAUAUUCCUCACUGCUGCCUCCCGUAGGAGUCUGGUCCGUGUCUCAGUACCAGUGUGGGGGAUCUCCCUCUCAGGACCCCUACCCAUCAUCGUCUUGGUAAGCCGUUACCUUACCAACUAACUAAUGGGACGCAUGCUCAUCUUAUACCAAUAAAUCUUUAAUAUUAAAAUGAUGCCAUUUAAACAUUCUAUAAGGUAUUAAUCCAAAUUUCUCUGGGCUAUCCCUUAGUAUAAGGUAGAUUGCAUACGCGUUACGCACCCGUGCGCCGGUCUCAAGCACCGAAGUGCUCUACCCCUCGACUUGCAUGUGUUAGGCCUGCCGCUAGCGUUCAUCCUGAGCCAGGAUCAAACU
rnacentral:rRNA from 1 species